CUCCUUCUCUUCUCUUUGAUCUAGAUCUCGUUCUAUUUGCUUUUCAUCCAUGUCCUCUUCCUCAGGAUCUGUUAGAUCGCUACACGAUCUAUCUAUUGAUACCAGAUAUAGCCUCGGUAUUUCCUGAAGGUUUAUAAUCAGCCUCGGUUUUAUGGAUGAUUAUGCACCUCUUGAUCUCCUGAGCCUUCGAUUCAGAUCUUUGAUCUUAAAUUGGGAGAUAUGGUUGAGAGGAUGAGAGGCUGUUGAAGAGCAAUAUGAGAAAGAAGAUGAUAUAAGUUCCGAUGUAAUAUAUUUAUAAUAUGGAUGUGUAAGAUGUCGGGGCGAAAAGGCUUCUAAAUUGAAGAAGCCGAUUGAGUCCUGAUUAAUCUUUGUCAUCCGACCUUUGCCAUGACAGGUGCGCUUGCAUGGCAGGUCACCAAUAUUCUUAAUAAAAAUAAUAAGUUUUUUGGUUUUUGAGGAGAGAUCGCACGGGGAUUGCCCGGGUUCUCUCCUCACUGUGCUCUGUGUCCUCCUUUCUUAUCUUUUCCUUUACUAUUCAUAUCAAUAUCUCUUGCUCGGGAUGCCACAUCAUCAGCAAUUGAUUCUCUCUCACUCACAAGAUGCAAGACUCAAGGUAAAAUUUACAAUUUACAUUCGUUGCUCCGUUUGAGAGUCUGCUAUCACCGUUAUGCCAUUCCUCUCAUCUGCUGGGUAUUCCUGAUACGCCUUAAAAUUAUGUGAAUAAUAUAUCUGACAGCAUAUAUUAAUUUUGUCAUUGACAGUUACGCUUAGAAUUGCAAGGAGUUCGUCACAACACAUCUCAUACUUAAUGAUUUUCAAAGGUACAAGGGAAUUUAGUUUUACCUGUUAAAAGUUACUUGCAGGCUAUUUUAAUUAAAAAAAAAAAAAAGAAA